ensembl:piRNA 21ur-10364 ncRNA
UCUUUUUGAGAAAUUAACAGA